ACACUGGGACUGAGACACGGCCCAGACUCCUACGGGAGGCAGCAGUAGGGAAUAUUGGACAAUGGGGGAAACCCUGAUCCAGCAAUGCAGCGUGAGUGACGAAGGCCUUAGGGUUGUAAAACUCUUUCAUCUGUGAGGAUAAUGACAGUAGCAGAAGAAGAAGGACCGGCUAAUUCCGUGCCAGCAGCCGCGGUAAUACGGAAGGUCCUAGCGUUGUUCGGAAUUACUGGGCGUAAAGAGUAUGUAGGCGGAACAGAAAGUUAGAAGUGAAAUCCCUGGGCUCAACCUAGGAAUUGCUUUUAAAACUUCUGUUCUUGAAUUCAGGAGAGGAUAGUGGAAUUUCCAGUGUAGAGGUGAAAUUCGUAGAUAUUGGAAGGAACACCAGUGGCGAAGGCGGCUAUCUGGACUGACAUUGACGCUGAGAUACGAAGGCAUGGGUAGCAAACGGGAUUAGAUACCCCGGUAGUCCAUGCAGUAAACGAUGGAUGCUAGUCGUCGGACUUUUGUUCGGUGUCGUAGCUAACGCGUUAAGCAUCCCGCCUGGGGAGUACGGUCGCAAGAUUAAAACUCAAAUAAAUUGACGGGGACCCGCACAAGUAGUGGAGCAUGUGGUUUAAUUCGACGCAACGCGAAGAACCUUACCAGCGUUUGACAUGGAAAGUACCGGUUACAGAAUGGUAACCUUCAGUUCGGCUGGCUUUCACACAGGUGCUGCAUGGCUGUCGUCAGCUCGUGUCGUGAGAUGUUGGGUUAA
rnacentral:rRNA from 1 species